UACGGAGGAUGCAAGCGUUAUCCGGAUUCAUUGGGUUUAAAGGGUGCGUAGGCGGAAAUGUAAGUCAGUGGUGAAAGACUGUCGCUUAACGAUAGCAUUGCCAUUGAUACUGCAAGUCUUGAGUACAUUUGAGGUGGGCGGAAUGUGUAGUGUAGCGGUGAAAUGCUUAGAUAUUACACAGAACACCAAUUGCGAAGGCAGCUCACUAAACUGUAACUGACGCUGAGGCACGAAAGCGUGGGGAUCAAACAGG
rnacentral:rRNA from 1 species